rnacentral:rRNA from 1 species
UACGUAGGGCGCAAGCGUUGUCCGGAAUUAUUGGGCGUAAAGAGCUCGUAGGCGGCUUGUCACGUCGGUUGUGAAAGCCCGGGGCUUAACCCCGGGUCUGCAGUCGAUACGGGCAGGCUAGAGUGUGGUAGGGGAGAUCGGAAUUCCUGGUGUAGCGGUGAAAUGCGCAGAUAUCAGGAGGAACACCGGUGGCGAAGGCGGAUCUCGGGGCCAUUACUGACGCUGAGGAGCGAAAGCGUGGGGAGCGAACAGG